rnacentral:lncRNA from 1 species
CCCGCCGCGCAGGCUCGGCGUUGGCCUCCGCGGCCCGUGCGAGUGCGCCCUUCUCGGGUCCCCUAGGUCGCGGGGCAGCCGGGGCGGAAGGGGCUUGUUCAUUAUUUUGAGAGUUUGUUGUGAACGUCAUAACCUUUCGUCCUUAAAUAUUGCCGAUACUUGACCUACGCAAGAGACAAUGUCAUGUGAUUCAGCCUAAUAUCUCAGUAGCUGUCCCUUUGCUCUUCAUUUGUCUUCCACCAUGAUUGGGAGGCCUCCCCUGCCAUGUGGAACUGAGGAUGCAGCAUUCAAGGUUCUAUCUUGGAAGCAGAGACUGUGCCCUCACCAGAUGCUGAACCUGCUGAGCACCCUGAUCUUCCACUUCACCUUCAUCAGAACUACUGGGGCUGUGGCUGAGAUGUCACAUGGCAGAUAGGAUCACAAAUUUCUGUUGUAUCUGGAUGGAGAUCAGCAGGAGGAUCUAUGGGUGAGAAGAAGCACAGUUACAGAUGGAUUCUAGAGCCUGCUUGCUGACACAGGCUUGCAACUGCGGACUUUAUAAGCUUAGUUUUUAAUCUGCUAUCAGCUAGCAUAAUACCAUAAAUGCAUAAGAAACUAAGUAUUCAGUCUUACGAGAAAUGCUAUCUUGACCUGACCCUUUCUCCAAAUAAAUUGACAAAAUAUCUCAUCGUCUAGGAUGCCAGACAGAAAUACCAGUUGCAAUGUUUUGUUGCAUAAAGUUUAUCCUAAUUUAAAUUAGUGGCAUAUAAAGUCAUCAUCUUGCUUGAACAAACAUCUUAUUAAAUUGAGCAUGUCUUUUAUCCCAUGAAAUGAAAUUAAUUUUGAGAUAGUUAUUUUUCAGUUGGAAAUUUAUUGAGUUGAUAGAAAACAAGUUAUAUAGUCUUCCAAAGAAUAUGUUACAUCCAUUUGCAUUUUGUUUUUCUUCAGCAAUGUUUGGUUUUUAGAAAAUCUUACAAGUUAAAUAUACUAAUGUAGAAAUUGAAAGAAAAUAAUCAGAGAUAGAGCAAUAAAUUUGCAAAUAAAGAUUAUUCUUAAAACAAA